GCAGCGCAGGUUCCCAUGGUGGCUGACCGCUCUCCUCUCCAUUCUACCCCACAAUUCAUCUUCCAAGUACAGAGACAUGGAGGCUGAGCCGUCUGCUCGAUACUAUUGUGUUUAGCAGAGAUUAUCCAAUGCAGUUUGUUGUUGCCUCGUGCCUAGGUGAAAAAGUAAGGUCCAGGUAGAUGUUUUCUCUCCCGUGUAAAGCAAAUGAAAUGUUUCCUUCUCUAAAGGAAUCGGGACUGCUGUUCCUUUGUUCCGAGUGCUCUCAAAGGGAAAUUUUCCAGGGAAAUUGAAACUUGCAAAAUUCCUAUACGUUUCCUCCGUUCCGAACGGAGCCUUAGUUAUAAUGAUGGAGGGCGAUGUGGCGAUGCUAAAUUGUUCAUGCCAUUUUAUCAUUGGAGUAUCAUGUAGUAGCAUACGUGAACAUUCUCAUUUGAAUGUAAGUAGUCCGCCGAUCAUCUUUUCUCCGUAUGAUCUAAUAGAAAUGUACUGAUCGUUUCAGUGGCGCAGACAGUGAACCACUUCAAGAAGAGGAUUACUUUUUGUCAAUGACUCCAUCAUUCUCUCAUCUGGGUCACACCUCGAGAGUUCUUUGCUUGGUGGUGCCGGAGUCAAUGGAGAAGGAGGCUGGUUUGGGGACGCGAUGAGCAGCAAGGUGAAGCUGGGAUGGCUGAGGCUCAGGGGACUCCAAUGAUGCGGCUGAGAGGAGGUGAGUGCUGGGGUCGCGGACACCGUCAUGAACCGUGAGGGCCUGGUGAACAUCCACAUACCGGCGUACCUGAACGCUAUAUGCAGGUGUCUCCACCAUCAGUCAA